rnacentral:rRNA from 1 species
GUUAUCGAAAAACUUCUGGAUGAAUUGCAUGGAGCAGCGUGGUUUUCCAAGCUAGAUUUGCGUGCGGGUUAUCAUCAGAUCAGGCUCGCGCCAGGGGAGGAGUACAAGACAGCAUUCUCAACACAUCAGGGCCACUUCGAAUUCAAGGUUUUAUCCUUUGGGCUAGCCGGGGCCCCACCCACAUUCAUCGAAGGGUUGACUACAACUCUCAAGCCAGUUAUACGCGUCUGUGUGCUCUGUUUCUUCGAUGACAUUUUAAUCUUUAGCGCCACCCUGGAAGAGCACAAAUGUCAUGUGAGGCAAGUGCUGGAGCUGCUUCGCAAGGACCAAUGGAAAGUGAAGCUCAGCAAGUGUGCUUUUGGGCAA